rnacentral:lncRNA from 1 species
GAGCGUCGGAGGGGACCCAAGUCCACGCUGGGACGCCCGGGAGGAGUUCAGGGUUCAAGUGCGCGCCUGGGUCUGUGCACAUCUUCCCCUUCCUCGGCCUCCCUGGAUGUCUUCAAGCUUAUCUUCAUUUACAUUACAUGGGAAGAAAGCUAAUGGAACUUGAGAGCAGGUGAAAUGGAAGGCUAUGUGCAAGUUCUAAGGGAAUAAAGUUUGUUUUCUAAUGUU